UACGGGGGGGGCAAGCGUUGUUCGGAAUUACUGGGCGUAAAGGGCUCGUAGGCGGCCAACUAAGUCGGACGUGAAAUCCCCAGGCUCAACCUGGGAACUGCGUCCGAUACUGGAUGGCUUGAAUCCGGGAGAGGGAUGCAGAAUUCCAGGUGUAGCGGUGAAAUGCGUAGAUAUCUGGAGGAAUACCGGUGGCGAAGGCGGCAUCCUGGACCGGCAUUGACGCUGAGGAACGAAAGCUAGGGGAGCAAACGGG
rnacentral:rRNA from 1 species